AGGAGAAGAAGUGUGUGUGAGGAACCAGAGGCAUGCAAGAAGCUGAGAGUACAGCAUCACCAGUGCAAUGUACUGGAUCACAUGGAAAAUAAUUCUGCUUUACAUCUACCUCCUACGUAGUUUUCUUUCUACUAUUGCCUCCAGGUGUUUCCUGGACUUGCUGCUUUCUAGGUGCUUGAUUCCAACAGAGUGUCCAGGGAGAGGGGACAUCCCAUGGAAGUAGUGGAAAUGGCAAUAAGCAGAAAUCCAUGGGGCAGCAGGAAGAUCCAUGCCUCCAGAUGGUCAAGAGGUCAGACCUGGGAGGGAGCGGCGCAAUAAAAGUGAGAAGAGGCAGAGUGAAAAGAGGGAUAGGUCGAAAUAGGCAAGUUGUAACUAACACCUCAGACUAAAGACCAGUACCGAUUGGUGUGGGGCAGGACAAGAGUGGAGACCAGAAGCAAUAAAUGGAAGUUGCAGGUGCACAGAGAAUGAGGUUUCCACUGUUCCCUUCCACCACAGAAGACUAAUUAUGUAAUUACUUAGAUAGUCCCAGUGACCCAAGAGCUGAAAGAGGGGCUGGAUUUGGAAAACAUGAGCUGUGAAGACUAGGAAAUCUCACAUUUUGAUCUCACCAAGAUAGGAGACUGUGGUGCAUCAUGGGAGAUGUAACCCAAUCUGGCAGCCCAGCCUAUAGAGGAAAAUUGGACUAGGAGGCACCUGAACUCUGGCUCCCAUAAAGUAGCACAACAGCAUUUCUUAAUAAAUAUAUUUCAGUUUUUGGCUGAAAUAUUUAGCUGAAUAAGUCCAAAUUUUCCACCGGGUUGGGUGGGGGAAUUUCCAUCCAGCUCUAGUGACUUGCAUGGCUCCCAUUACUAUACUACAGGGAUGUCUAGGGGUUAAAAGGGGAGACUUCCUGGAGCAUAUUGGGCAGUACUACAAUAUGCUUUUUCUUUGUGUAUUGAAUAUUCAGAACACCUUUCAUAUAUGCCCACAUGAAAGAUCAAUGGCACUCUUCCUUCACAGGGAAAAUGUGCACACUGUACUAUAGUAACUACUCUUUAAAAAAACUGCUAUUAUAGAUUUUAAUGGAGCUACAGUUGAUCUGCAGCAAACCAGGAGUUAUGUUAAACAAAAUAUAUUUUGGGUGUUCCUAAAAAUCUAAAUGAUUCUCUAAGAGCUUCUUAAUCCUGAAUUAGAAAGAGGUUUUGUGAGCUGGGACACUCCAGGCUGCUAUAUUUGAGGCACCUUUGAAAGAAAUGUAUUAUAACUUUUUCUGUUUUAAUGGAUCAUGCCAUUAGAUCAGGAGAGUACUGUGCUGGCAAUACAUAAAACAUCAAAAGAAGCAGUAAAUGAGCAUUGCCACUAAAGCUUACCUAUAAUUGGAUAAUUUUGGAGCUACAUCUCUAUCAGUCAAAAAACAUAAAAGCAAAUCUCUUAUUGGAAGAUUUUUAAGGACGGAGUUAAGGGGUUGAAAAUGUAUGCAGAAACUGCUAAAUGAUGAAGAUGAGGCACUAAAGACCCUUCUUCCUAGGCAUUUUCCCCCUGAUGUCAUGCUAUUUAAUUAUCACUGAGGGGAAUUUCCUGAAGAUUCAGUUGUUAAUUUUGAAUUGUUUUGCGAAAAAUAUCUGAAUCUUUGAGAACUGUCAGAUCUCUGCAAAGUUUCUAGACUUCAUCAAAAAGCUGAUGGAUGUGUGGGGCAAUGAAGUCAAUAAGACUCUUUUUCUGUUGGCGUCAGGAAGUCGUUAAAGCAGUGCUGGCAUACAGUGGGAGCCAGUGGACCCAUAUGUUUAAAUAUUGUGUUGUCUUGUGUUUGAUUAUAUUGCAUGCAUUUCCUUUACAUCUCUAACUAGGAUAAGACACGGUUACUG